GGUAGCUCAGUGGUAGAGUGCUUGCCUUGCAUGCAUGAGGCCCUGGGUUUGAUUCCUCAGUACCA
rfam:Dipodomys ordii contig_63929, whole genome shotgun sequence.